rnacentral:rRNA from 1 species
GACGAACGCUGGCGGCGUGCCUAAUACAUGCAAGUCGAACGCAGUGGGGACGGGUGAGUAACACGUGGGUAACCUCCCAUCAGAGGGGAUAACACUUGGAAACAGGUGCUAAACCGAUACUGAUGGAUGGACCCGCGGUGCAUUAGCUAGUUGGUGAGGUAACGGCUCACCAAGGCCACGAUGCAUAGCCGACCGGAGAGGGUGAGGGGGCAAACAGGGAGUGAGACACGGCCCAGACUCCUAGGGGAGGAAGCAGUAGGUAAGCUUCGGCAAUGGACGAAAGUCUGACCGAGGAACGCCGCGUGAGUGAAGAAGGGUUGCGGAGCGGAAAACUCUGUUGGUAGAGAAGCGGUAUCUAACCAGAAAGCCACGGCUAACUACGUGCCAGCAGCCGCGGUAAUAC